ensembl:lincRNA
UAGAUUUUAUUUAGAGACAGGGUCUCACUGAGCUGCUUAGUGCUUCGCCAUUCUCCUGUCUCAGCCUCCCUAGCUGCUGGGAUCACAAGCGUGCACCACGAUGCCAACUGACCCUUAAACUUUUAAACCUGAAACUCAACCAGAUUCCCAAACCUUGUUUCCCAGGCCUGAGCCUUGCAUUCAGUGUGACAAUUGGCAUAGUCAGCAGGCUUCAUCGCAGGAUCUAGGGGUGGACAGCAUGGUCUGCUGGUCCAGAGAAGAUGGAGCACCUGGCAUCCAUCACCACCCACCCUUCCCAGAGACAGCCAUCGCAGAACAGUUGCAGGCCUGGAAAUGGAAUCGCUCCCCAAUAGACUGGAUUUAUGCAGCUGUGCGAACUGUGUGGACUGAGGCCAGUAAGUGUGUCCUUGCUAACACCACUGUGGACUGGGCACAUGCCUACACCAGAGCAGCAAACACCUCUGCCUGCUGGGUAUGCACCGAAGUGCCUGGGAGUUCUGCUGCUGGACUACCUAGCAAAUCCAGACUAUCACUGGACAGCUAGAUGUGACAGGGAAAGACUUUUAUUGCCACUCAAUAUGGGAUGGCAAUGGCUUUUAUUAAUCCUAGGUGAUGGGACUUGUUUUUGUUUGUAUGUUGUUAUAAUGUGUAUUUCUGUUGUGGCCUAUGGGUGCAGGGCUCUGUCCUCCUCACUAAGGGGUCAUUGCAGAAGAUUUCAGAUACUUAGAUUGUUCGGUGAGGAAUCUUAAAGGGGUGGUGUUGGGGCAGGACCAGAGUGGUUAUAGUUAGGCUCCCUUGCCAAGGCUUCUGGAGCUAUGGUAUGCUUUUAGUGUGUAGCCAAGGCCAUGAAUCAGCUAUGUCAUGGUCAGUGUGUAGUCAGGUCAGAAAUACUCUGAUUCAGCCUAUGUACUCAAGUUCAUGAACAUUCACUUGUUAGCAUGUACCCACUUCUGUAACCCAUUAGCUAUGUGCCUUCUUUGUUUGGCCUGUGUAUAAAAAAAAGGCCUAUGAAAAUGGCUCAGGGGCUGGGUAGAGGCUACUGCCACUUCCAAAUAAAGAAUGGCCAAUAUUCCUACCAUGCCUCUCAUCUUCUUUCAACUGCUAGAUCUCUGAACCUGGCUUCCUUGGCCUGGGUCUUGCCCUCUGCAUGACAGGUGCGGUAUCGCUCAGCAGUAGAGCACUUGCCUAGCAGGCCCUAGGUUCCACAACACCUCAAAAACAAACAAGACAGGCUGAGGAGGUGGCUCAAGCGGUUACACGCUCACCUGGCAUGCGCGGGACACUGGGUUCAAUCCUCUGCA